rnacentral:other from 1 species
GUGCCUCUGCGGUGUUCGUGACGGGUCGUAUGCUUUUGGCGAACCGACACUAACCUGCUAUGGGGGCCUUUAUUUCAAUGCGGUUGACGCUCGCAAGCCCGUCCCCGGCGCUCGUCGUCGGGACUGUAGCGGGAUCCGAAACUCCGCCGCGAGGCACCCCUCUCAAUUAGCGGGUUCCCGAAGGAUGACCCGCACGGCACAGGUGGAGGCGUU